rnacentral:rRNA from 1 species
UACGAAGGGUGCAAACGUUGCUCGGAAUCAUUGGGCGUAAAGCGCACGUAGGCGGCUUUGCAAGUCUGACGUGAAAUCCCUCAGCUCAACUGAGGAAGUGCAUCGGAAACUGCAAGGCUUGAGUACUGAAGAGGAUCGCGGAAUUCCCGGUGUAGAGGUGAAAUUCGUAGAUAUCGGGAGGAACACCAGUGGCGAAGGCGGCGAUCUGGGCAGAUACUGACGCUGAGGUGCGAAAGCGUGGGGAGCAAACAGGGAUUAAGAAACCC